CGUGAGUCUCUGUGCGCCUGGACAACCAACCAAUCAAAAAUGUUCUUCCCCUUGGCGGGCCCUACGGCUUAAUUUGCAGGCAGAACAGAGUUCAUUGGACAGCGUUGGAGGAAGUGGCCCGAAACGCCACAUCCGGAGGCGCUGUGCUCUGCAGAAGUAUUUCCCGGUAGUCUUUGCUUCUUGGAGCGGGAGGGGGAGCGCUUUGAUUGGCAUAAGAAACAGCCAAUGAACGCUCCCAACCGGGAACUCCGGAAGGUCUUCCCCCCGGCAGCUGGGCAGCAUGGCGAGCUUGAGUGAAACUAGGAGUUAGCUCAUAGUCAGGGCCGGCAGUCUCCUGACCUUGGAGCGCUGGGCCGAUAGAGCGCGCCCCAGAAACUGCUGCGCACCCCGGAAGCGGCGCCGCCGGGGCACGCGUCUGUGGGGCCGAGAGACGGAAGUCCGUUUCCCCGCGGGAGACGAGAGGGAGGAAGCUGGUGCACGGGGCGCACGUGCGGGUCCGGGCUCCCGAGGCGGGGCCUGGCGGGCGCACUGCCCGCGGAGAGACCCUCGCGGCCCAGCCGUGCCCUGGACUGAGCCUAAACCCGGACAACGGAGUACUGUGCCCAGGGCGUCAGUAGAGCCACCGCUGUCGGCCGCACACACACGCCCGCCUCUCCUCAGGCUGGCCCGCGGAGUGUCCUGUCCACCAGCAUGGCGACAGCCGCGGGGCAGACCCAGCUGAGGGCGCAGGCAGGAGCGAGGCACGCGGGAAGAUGUGUUCGAGGCCGGAGCUGGAGCAGGGCUUUCUGACAGCCAGCUGGUGUUACUCGGGCCGAAACGGCAGCGCCGGACGCUCCGGUCAGCUGGUGGAGAUGGGCUGCACAACCUGGAGUCACCGGAAGCACCAGGGCUGUGGGGUCCGGGCCGGGUUCCAGCUCGUUCCCUGGACACUACUUCCGACCCCGCCUCACUCCUGUAGGCUAGUCUGCAGUCACACUAACUACUUCGUGGUCACUCCUGUAAACUAGUCUGCAGUCACACUAACUACUUACGACCCCGCCUCACUCCUGUAGGCUAGUCUGCAGUCACACUAACUACUUCGUGGUCACUCCUGUAAACUAGUUUAUAACCACACUAACUACUCCUGACCUCGCCGCACUCCUGUAAACUAGUCUGCAGUCACACUACUUCCGACCUCUCCGCACUCCUGUAGGCUAGUCUGCAAUCACACUACUUCGUGGUCACUCCUGUAAACUAGUCUAUAACCACACUAACUACUCCUGACCUCGCUGCACUCCUGUAGGCUAGUCUGCAGUCACACUAACUACUCCUGACCUCGCCGCACUCCUGUAGGCUAGUCUGCAAUCACACUAACUACUUCGUGGUCACUCCUGUAAGCUAGUUUAUAACCACACUAACUACUUCCGACCUCGCCGCACUCCUGUAGGCUAGUUUAACCUAGGCCAGUUAAUCCUGUAGGCCAGAUUAACCAGUCUAGCAUUGUCGGGAAGUUUGGAGAAACAGGUGGCAGUGGGCGACAGCUGAUUCUUGGGAUGAGCUAAUAGUACAAACUACCACCGGUUUCUAUGACACGUCUAGAAGCAGAGCCCUGGCAAUUCUAAGGUGCCAUAAUCUAUGUGAGACACUUGAAAAACAACCCACGCUGUUUCCUGGAUUCCACCCUGAGAUACCACGCUGGGCGUGAGAAACCCAGGGGGAGACACUAGAAGGACCCCUGGGGCUGUUGGGGGUGUGGCGUCUUGAGGGCCAGCAGCCUAGAACGCAGGAGACGCAACUUCAGGGACUGGACCGACUCCAGGAAAACAGCAUCAACGACUGCAGCUGACAUGCGGGUGGAGCUGGAUCCUGCAGGUGUGAACAGCAGAUCCAGGGAGUGGCAGCACUUUCCCGCCCACCACCACUCCCCACCUUUCCGUAACCAGAGGAAGGGGCUAGAAAGAAAGGAGGGUGAGGGGGCUCACUAGGUUAAUCCUCCGCCUGCGGCACCGGCACCCCGUAUGGGCACUGGGUUCUAGCCCCGGCUGCUCCUCUUCCAGACCAGCGGCCAGGGAGUGCAGUGGAGGAUGGCCCAAGUCCUUGGGCCCUGCACCCGCAUGGGAGACCAGGAGAAGCACCUGGCUCCUGCCAUCAGAUCAGCGCAGCGGCCAUUUGAGGGGUGAACCAAAAGGAAGAUCUUUCUCUCUCAUAGUUCACUCUGCUCGCCCCAUGAAAAUCCAUGGACCUAUGGCUAGUCAAAGCAAAAAAAAACAAAAAAACAAAACAACAACAACAAAAACCCAACUACAUUGUUACUGGAGUACCCAGGUUGGCUAUCAGACUCCAAGUUCUUGCCAGUGUAGCCCCAAGGAGGCAGCAAUGAUGGCUCAAGUAAUUGGCCUCCUGACGCUCUUAUGGGAGACUUGAAUUGAAUUCCCAGCUCCUGGUUUCAGUGGAACCCAACCCCAGCCUGGCUGUUGCAGGCUUUGGAUGGGGAGGGGGGUGGGGGGGUUGGGUGUCCAGAGAGGGAAGAGGUGGACCAGGGGAUAGAGUCUCUCUCUCUCUCUCUGUCAUUCAAAUAUGUAAGUAAAAUUGCAGAAAAUUUUAAAAGAAACUCUACAUUCUGAAUGCUAAGCAGCAUAAAUGGGGGGAGAGGGGAGAAAUACAACAGAGACAAUUUCCCUAAAACGACCAAGAAGGCCAGCGUUUAGCUGAGCAGCAAGGAUUCCUACAUCUCACAGAGCAAUGCCGAGUUUGGCCCCCAGGCCAGCUCCUGCCUCCAUUCUCCCGACGAUGCAGACCCUGGAAGGCAGUGCUGGUGACUCUAGUAGUUGGGUCCCUGCCCCCCAUGUGGGAGACCUGGGUUGACUUCCCAGCUGCAGCUCCUCCCUGUCACAACCAUUGCAGGCAGUUGGGGAGUGAACCAGGAGAUGGAAGCACUCCCUCUUCUUCUGUCUCACUGGCUCAGAUAAAUUAAAAUUCCUAUAUUUAUUAAAAACCCACCAAGAGAGAAAGCAGACCACCCCCCAAGGAAUGGUGAUCAAUCAAGACUGCUCAGCUGUAACACUGAGGGUUCAAAGAUAAAAAGCAAUUCCAGAUCUUGAAGAGAGGCCGGCGCUGUGGUGUAGUGGGUAAAGCCGCCGCCUGCAGUGCCGGCAUCCCAUAAGGGCACUGGUUCAAGUCCUGGCUGCUCCAAUUCCCAUCCAGCUCUCUGCUGUGGCCUGGGAAAGCAGUCGAAGAUGGCCUAAGUGCUUGGGCCCCUGCACCCACGUGGGAGACCCAGAGGAAGCUCCUGGCUCCUGGCUUCAGAUCGGUGCAGCUCCGGCUAUUGCAGCCAUCUGGGGAGUGAACCAGCGGAUGGAAGACUGCUCUCUCGCUCGCUCUCUCUCUCUCUCUCCCUCUCUGUAGCUCUGCCUUUCAAAUAAAUAAAUAAAUCUUUUUUUUUUUAAAGACUAU
rnacentral:lncRNA from 1 species